rnacentral:rRNA from 1 species
GACAGAGGGGGCAAGCGUUGCUCGGAAUCACUGGGCGUAAAGGGCGCGUAGGCGGCCUUCUAAGUCGAACGUGAAAUCCCCGGGCUCAACCCGGGAACUGCGUCCGAUACUGGAAGGCUUGAAUCCGGGAGAGGGAUGCGGAAUUCCAGGUGUAGCGGUGAAAUGCGUAGAUAUCUGGAGGAACACCGGUGGCGAAGGCGGCAUCCUGGGCCGGUACUGACGCUGAGGAGCGAAAGCGUGGGGAGCAAACAGG